CAAGAUGUGUUAUAUGGCUACAUGCAGGGACCUCCAAUCGGAAUCCACGUUUCAUUGCUAGAUAUUUUCUCAAUGCUGUGGAAACAGAAAAUGGUGAAACAUUUACUUUCGUUUCCAGCUAAUUCCUAUGAUAAAUGAGUUUCUUUAGCUGUAUAUUGUUAGAGGAUUUUCUUAAUAUUUUAUACAGCACUUUUCUGGCUGUGUGCUUUAAAUUACUGUGUUUUAUUUAUUUUUGAAUUGCUAUGGCUAUAGGUUGUCCACGCCUUGUGAGAGCAGAUAGGGGUUGUGAAAAUUCUUUAGUUGCCAUUAUACAGAUGUCUUUUAGAUACCGUCACCAUGACAGCUUAGCAGGAGUUAACAGUUUCAGAUAUGGGAAGUCUAUACAUAAUCAACGAGCAGAGUACUUUAAUGGAUACCUAAAAAAAUCAUGGAUGUCUUUCUGGCAAAAACAUUUUGAGGCAACGGUGGAAGCUGAAAUUUUGGAACUAUCCAAUCCCAU